rnacentral:rRNA from 1 species
AUGGCCACCUUCCGCGUUGCGGACGCGUCGGAGUACUUGGCCAUCACCGGCUGGGGCAUCGACGACGUCAAGCUCGCCAAGAAGGCCGCCGAGAAGCUGCCCUUCAUCCUUCCCGCAGUCUUCACCAUCGGCCCCAAGAUCACCGCCACCGGGGCGGAGGCGUCAGACAAGAGGGACCUCGAGGCGCAGCUCCUCCUCUACGCCAAGCUCAUCGCCCCGCUGCACAGGUCGAGGAGCCACGUCCACGAGCUGGUCAAGGGGAUCAUCGAGGGCGAGACCCGCGUGCUCGCCGCCGACCUCACCAUGGAGGAGAUCUUCAAGGGAACCAAGACCUUCAAAGAGAAGGUUUUCAACAGGGUGCAGCUGGAGCUUAAUCAGUUCGAACUCGUCAUCUACAACGCCAACGUCAAGCAGCUGGUGGAUGUGCCGGGGCACGAGUACUUAUCCUACCUCGGGCAGAAGACGCAGCAGGAUGCUGCCAACCAGGCCAAGCAGGGUCAGGGGCUCAAGGAGGAGGCCAAGGUGAAGGCCGAGGUGCAGGUGUUUGAGAAUGCACGGGAGGCCGACAUCGCGGCGGCCAAGGCCGAGCUUGCCAUGAAGAAGGCCGGAUUUGACAAGCAGGCCAAGGUGGCAGAGGUUAAGGCGGCCAAGGCCGUCGCCGUCCGCGAGGCCGAGCUCCAGAUGGAGGUCGAGCGCAAGAACGCCAUGCGCCAGACCAAGGCCGAACAGCUCAGCAAGGCCACAGUGCAGUACGAGACACAGGUUCAAGAAUCAAACGCGCUGUUCUACAGCAGGCAGAAAGCGGCGGAGGCAGCGCUGUUCGAGCAGAUGAGGACGGCGGAGGCGCGCAAGGCGCAGGCCGACGCGCAGUUCUUCGAGCAGAAGAUGGCAGAGGACGCCAAGCUGUACGCGAAGCAGAAGGAGGCGGAGUCUCUGGCCCUGCUGGGCAGGGCCAAGACGGAGUACGCGGCGUCCAUGCUCCAGGCGCUGGGCGGCAACUACUACGCCCUCAGGGACUACCUCAUGAUCGACGGCGGCAUGUACACGGAGAUGGCGAGCAUCAACGCCGGCGCAGUCAACGGCAUGCAGCCCAAGAUUAGCAUCUGGAGCAACGGUGCCGGAGCGGACGGCGCCACGAAUGCCGGCAAAGAGGCCGCGGGAGGCAGUGCGCUGCAGCAGGUGGCCGGGGUGUACAAGAUGCUGCCGCCGCUUCUGUCGACGGUGCACGAGCAGACUGGGAUGCUGCCGCCGGCGUGGAUGCGCGCUGCCCAAGGACAGCGCCGCCAACUGAUCGUCGUGGAGUGCGCGUUCCUCGUUUGA